rnacentral:lncRNA from 10 species
GGAGGGAGCGGUGAGGUGGGGAGCGGUGAGGCGGGGAGCCGUGAAUGGGGGACCGGUGAGGGGGCAAGUGGUGAAGCGGGGAGUGGCAGGUCCUCCUCUACGGUGGCUGUUCUCUGCCCCUCACCCUGGGGUGCUGCUCUGCCGCCCGGCUCCUCACACUCUCCCUUGGAUUCGAAUGACAGCGUGACCUCAGGUCCCCUAUUCCUGUGCCCUUGGAUGCUCCAAGCAGGUGGGGUCUUGCUAUGUAGCCCGGGCUGGCCUUGAACUCCUGGGCUCAAGUGAUCUUCCCGAGUAGCUCAGACUACAGGGAUGCACCCUGCACCAGGCUUAAAGUGAGUUUUUGAAAAGAGAUCUCACAUGAAAAGAUGCUUGACAUCAUUAGUCAUCAGAGAGGCGCAAAUUGAAACCACAGUGAGACACCACUUCAUACCCACUCAGAAUCAAAGGGACAAUAACAACUGUUGGCGAAGAUGAGGAGCAAUUGGAACCCUCAUUCAUUGCUGGUGAGAUUGUGAAACGGUGCAUCCGCUUUGGAAAACAAUCUGGCAGUUCCUCAAAAGAUUAGCUGUGGAGUCACCACAUGACCCAGAGAUUCCACUCCCUGGCCGUCUCCCAAGAGAAAUGAAAAUAUAUUAAAUCCACACAAAAACUUGUACACAAAUCCCAUAGCAGCACUAUUUGUGAUAGCCAAAAUGUGAAAAUCAACCAAAUGUUUAUCAACUGAUGAUGGGUGGAUAAAUAAAAUGUGAUGUAUGCCUACCUGGGAAUAUUAUUCAGCCACAAGAUUGAAGUACUGAUGCACGCCACAGCAUGGAAGAAUCUAAGCAAAAGUAGCCAGCCACGAAAGGCCACAUGUUAUACAAUAUCACGUAUAUGAAAUGUCCAGGAUAAGCAAAUCCGCAGGGACAGAAAGUGGAUGAGCUGUUCCCAAGGGUUAGAGGGCGAGGGAAUGAGGGGUGAGGAGUGGCUGUUGACGGGGAUUAUUUGGGGAAUAAAAAAGAU